CCUACGGGUGGCAGCAGUGAGGAAUAUUGGUCAAUGGGCGUAAGCCUGAACCAGCCAAGUCGCGUGAGGGAUGAAGGUUCUAUGGAUCGUAAACCUCUUUUAUAAGGGAAUAAAGUGUGGGACGUGUCCUGUUUUGUAUGUACCUUAUGAAUAAGGAUCGGCUAACUCCGUGCCAGCAGCCGCGGUAAUACGGAGGGUCCGAGCGUUAUCCGGAUUUAUUGGGUUUAAAGGGUGCGUAGGCGGCCUUUUAAGUCAGCGGUGAAAGUCUGUGGCUCAACCAUAGAAUUGCCGUUGGAACUGGGGAGCUUGAGUAUGGUUGAGGCAGGCGGAAUGCGUGGUGUAGCGGUGAAAUGCUUAGAUAUUACGCAGAACCCCGAUUGCGAAGGCAGCCUGCCAGGCCAUGACUGACGCUGAUGCACGAAAGCGUGGGGAUCAAACAGGAUUAGAUACCCGGGUAGUC
rnacentral:rRNA from 1 species